AAAGUACUCCCUCCGUCCCAAAAUUCUUGUCUUAGAUUUGUCUACAUACAGAUGCAUCAAGUCACAUUUUAGUAUUAGAUACAUCCGUAUCUAGACAAAUCUAAGACAAGAAAUUUGGGACAGAGGGAGUAGUUG
rfam:Triticum aestivum genome assembly, contig: Triticum_aestivum_CS42_TGACv1_scaffold_513333_6BS